GGUUAAGCGACUAAGCGUACACGGUGGAUGCCCUGGCAGUCAGAGGCGAUGAAGGACGUGCUAAUCUGCGAUAAGCGUCGGUAAGGUGAUAUGAACCGUUAUAACCGGCGAUUUCCGAAUGGGGAAACCCAGUGUGUUUCGACACACUAUCAUUAACUGAAUCCAUAGGUUAAUGAGGCGAACCGGGAGAACUGAAACAUCUAAGUACCCCGAGGAAAAGAAAUCAACCGAGAUUCCCCCAGUAGCGGCGAGCGAACGGGGAGCAGCCCAGAGCCUGAAUCAGUGUGUGUGUUAGUGGAAGCGUCUGGAAAGGCGCGCGAUACAGGGUGACAGCCCCGUACACAAAAAUGCACAUACUGUGAGCUCGAUGAGUAGGGCGGGACACGUGGUAUCCUGUCUGAAUAUGGGGGGACCAUCCUCCAAGGCUAAAUACUCCUGACUGACCGAUAGUGAACCAGUACCGUGAGGGAAAGGCGAAAAGAACCCCGGCGAGGGGAGUGAAAAAGAACCUGAAACCGUGUACGUACAAGCAGUGGGAGCACGCU
rnacentral:rRNA from 1 species